rnacentral:rRNA from 1 species
GACGAACGCUGGCGGCGUGCUUAACACAUGCAAGUCGAACGGAAAGGCCCUGCUUUUGUGGGGUGCUCGAGUGGCGAACGGGUGAGUAACACGUGAGUAGCCUGCCCUUGACUUUGGGAUAACUUCAGGAAACUGGGGCUAAUACCGGAUAGGAGCUCCUGCUGCAUGGGGGGGGUUGGAAAGUUUCGGCGGUUGGGGAUGGACUCGCGGCUUAUCAGCUUGUUGGUGGGGUAGUGGCUUACCAAGGCUUUGACGGGUAGCCGGCCUGGGAGGGUGACCGGCCACCUUGGGACUGAGAUACGGCCCAGACUCCUACGGGCGGCAGCAGUGGGGAGUAUUGCACAAUGGGCGGACGCCUGAUGCAGCAACGCCGCGUGCGGGAUGCCGGCCUUCGGGUUGUAAACCGCUUUCGCCUGUGCCGAAGCGUGAGUGACGGUACUGGGUAAAGAAGCCCCGGCUAACUACGUG